rnacentral:rRNA from 1 species
CCUACGGGAGGCAGCAGUGAGGAAUAUUGGUCAAUGGACGAGAGUCUGAACCAGCCAAGUAGCGUGAAGGAUGACUGCCCUAUGGGUUGUAAACUUCUUUUAUAUGGGAAUAAAAUGUUCCACGUGUGGGAUUUUGUAUGUACCAUAUGAAUAAGGAUCGGCUAACUCCGUGCCAGCAGCCGCGGUAAUACGGAGGAUCCGAGCGUUAUCCGGAUUUAUUGGGUUUAAAGGGAGCGAAGGUGGAUGGUUAAGUCAGUUGUGAAAGUUUGCGGCUCAACCGGAAAAUUGCAGUUGAAACUGGCAGUCUUGAGUACAGUAGAGGUGGGCGGAAUUCGUGGUGUAGCGGUGAAAUGCUUAGAUAUCACGAAGAACUCCGAUUGCGAAGGCAGUUCACUGGACUGCAACUGACGCUGAGGCACGAAAGUGUGGGUAUCAAACAGGAUUAGAUACCCUUGUAGUC